rnacentral:tRNA from 1 species
GACGGUAGCUCAGCUGGUAGAGCACUAGACUGAAAAUCUGGGUGUCGGGGGUUCAACUCCCUUCUGUCCC